rnacentral:lncRNA from 1 species
UGAGCAGGUGCUGCCGUGGGUUUUCAAAAGUUUUCGAUAUAUGUGCCACUUGAAGCCGGAAGUUUCCUGAAAUUAAGUGUAUGGUUUUAGGGAAUGAGUUGAAAAAGACAUGUCACUUAUCCAUUGCGAAGCAUUUGAUUGGUUGGGCAAAGCAGGUGGGAGGGCUUUCAUUAAUGGACCGGGGAAUUCCAACUUGGGUCAUAUAAGAGGAUUUCCAGUCCAUGGAGCAGAGGGUUAAGCAGUGGUUCCGAGUGUGUGAGAUCUGUCUUUGUAUGAAGUCAGGCUGCCCGCCAUACGGCUAUCAAGGGAGAUGGGCCCAAAGAGACAGGAUGUGGUGGCCUGUCUCUGUCUUUGAAAUAAGGGUGAAGGUGG